AUUGAACGCUGGCGGCAGGCUUAACACAUGCAAGUCGAGCGGAGCGAGGGUGCUUGCACCUUAGCUUAGCGGCGGACGGGUGAGUAAUGUCUGGGAAACUGCCCGAUGGAGGGGGAUAACUACUGGAAACGGUAGCUAAUACCGCAUAACGUCGCAAGACCAAAGUGGGGGACCUUCGGGCCUCACACCAUCGGAUGUGCCCAGAUGGGAUUAGCUAGUAGGUGGGGUAAUGGCUCACCUAGGCGACGAUCCCUAGCUGGUCUGAGAGGAUGACCAGCCACACUGGAACUGAGACACGGUCCAGACUCCUACGGGAGGCAGCAGUGGGGAAUAUUGCACAAUGGGCGCAAGCCUGAUGCAGCCAUGCCGCGUGUAUGAAGAAGGCCUUCGGGUUGUAAAGUACUUUCAGCGGGGAGGAAGGCGGUGAGGUUAAUAACCUCGCCGAUUGACGUUACCCGCAGAAGAAGCACCGGCUAACUCCGUGCCAGCCGCCGCGGUAA
rnacentral:rRNA from 1 species